rnacentral:rRNA from 1 species
UACAGAGGUCUCAAGCGUUGUUCGGAUUCAUUGGGCGUAAAGGGUGCGUAGGCGGCGCGGUAAGUCGGGUGUGAAAUCUCGGAGCUUAACUCCGAAACUGCAUUCGAUACUGCCGUGCUUGAGGACUGGAGAGGAGACUGGAAUUUACGGUGUAGCGGUGAAAUGCGUAGAUAUCGUAAGGAAGACCAGUGGCGAAGGCGGAUCUCUGGACAGUUCCUGACGCUGAGGCGCGAAGGCCAGGGGAGCAAAACGGGG